rnacentral:misc_RNA from 1 species
GACGGUCCUGAUUUCAUGGGCGAGUUGGGUGUGUAAGUUUUCUCCUGCUUGUGCAACCCACUUGAUCAACGUGGGGAAGAAGCUUUUCAUGCCUCCAUAGGCAUUGAAACCAGCAAGAAACACAAGGUUAUGACAAGCUUCAUCUCUUUUGAUCCCGAAACUCUCAGCUUUGUCAAGAAUCCGAGCUGAGUGCUCGUAGAAAGCUUCGUAAAGCUUCUUGUAGUUAGAUUUUACUAGGAAGAAUGGAAAU